CACCCGGGCUCCCCAGAGGCAGAGUCUGGUCCUCAGACUCCAGGGCUCGGCUUAGGCAGCGAGUGGGGCAGGGCAAGAUGGAGCUUGACCUUUCUGUCAGGUGGCAGAGGCUCCAAAGGAUGCUCUCCUGGACGAACCUUGUGGGCUUUUGGUUUUGUUUUUAAAUAAGGGGCGGUCAGAGAAAAGAGAUCUUGUAGAAUUACCGUGACGCUGUUUCUGGCCGUGGGAAACAUUUCCAAGGGGUGAUAUUUCAAAACAUUUGCAAAAAUGCCUCAUCUUUAAGAAGACUCACAGAAAGGACUUUCUGGCGAGCACAAGAUUCUGGUACCUUCCAGGUCAUACCGAUGAACUGGGGCUUCUGCACUGGGCUGGCCUAGAGAGAGCACUGCUGACCUCCAACAACGCUGACACCAGGCCGAGAAAAAGACAGAGGGGCAGACCGCUGACCCAAGAAUCUGCACCAGGUCUGCAAGGUCCACUGUAAUUCAGC